rnacentral:tRNA from 1 species
GCCUGGCUGGCUCAGCUGGAAGAGCAGGCAACUCUUGAUCUUGGAGUCGUGGGUUCAAGCCCCACGCCGAGUG